rnacentral:rRNA from 1 species
UACAGAGGGUGCGAGCGUUAUUCGGAAUUACUGGGCGUAAAGCGCGCGUAGGCGGCUUUGCAAGUCGGAUGUGAAAUCCCCGGGCUUAACCUGGGAACUGCAUUCGGGACUGCAUUGCUAGAGUAUGGGAGAGGGAAGUGGAAUUUCAGGUGUAGCGGUGAAAUGCGUAGAUAUCUGAAGGAACAUCAGUGGCGAAAGCGACUUCCUGGACCAAUACUGACGCUCAUGUGCGAAAGCGUGGGGAGCAAACAGG